rnacentral:pre_miRNA from 1 species
GGGUGGGGGCCCUCGUCUUACCCAGCAGUGUUUGGGUGCGGUUGGGAGUCUCUAAUACUGCCGGGUAAUGAUGGAGGCCCCUGCCC